UGGCAGCCAUUCUCCUGCAAGAACAUCAACAUCAUCAGAUACUGGCAUCUCAUUCAAUAAUCAGAUCUUGGAUCUGCUCCACGAAAUCCAUGAAAUAGCUCAAAUGAAACGGGAAAAUAAAUCCUAAAACAGCACCAAUGCAGAACAACAGAAAUUCAACAGCAGAUGGAAGAGAGAUGAAGGACGAGAAGGUACCUGAUGACAAAGAGCUAUUGGUGAACACAAGGUGGAAGGAGAGAGCAAAGCAUGCUGGUCCAAACUCACACACAUGUCCUCCUGACAGACAGAUAUGGAUGCAUAUUAAAAGAUGGACAGACAUGCUCAUCAUUGAACUAUAUGAAAAAACUGCAUGAACGUACUCCUCCUGGGCUCCACAUGAAAAAUUACGUGAAGGAAGGAAACAAAGGUAUGAAACAGAGGAGAGGUUUUGAGGUCAGAUUAAGCAGAAUUGGUAAAGAUACUGUGCCAAAUGAUCAAAACGGUUCACAUGCAUGUCUCAAUAAAGAUGUUUGCACAAACACGUUGCGCUCUAUUUAUAUCACAGACCUAUAAAUCCGUACUCUACUAACAGAAUCUGUGCCAUAUAACAGUCUAGACACAACUCCUAUUAGAAUUCCUGCCUCGUAUGACAUAGAUUUUGUUAUUUAGUUGAAGAAAAGAUUCUUACUGGCCCCAAGACAGUCUUUACAUAGAGUACAGACACAAACAUAAGCUCUGCUCCAAAACCCUUUUUUGUAACUCUUUCCAGCUUUACACAGUCAACAGUUCUUAAUCCUAGGUGUUCUGAGAUCUCUUUGGCUCGAGGCGUGCUUCACAUCAGCCAGUGUUUCUUGUGAAGAGCGGAUUCCAAAUUUGUGAGUGUUUUUGAAUGGACUCCAGGUUAUUCAUGACUCUGGUUAGAAGACUUUAGACAAGGGAAUCAAUUUUUUUCUAGUCUGCACUGUGAAGGUUUACAAGGUUUGCUGCUUUCAGUCGAGCAUAUCAAUAGCUAAAUGUACUACCGUUUGAGGUCUGUGAGAUUUAUUUUUAAUGUUUUCGAAAUAAGUCUCUUACAGCUCCCCAAGGCUACAUUUAUUUGAUCAGAAAUACAGUAAAAGAAGUAAAAUUAAAAUGUAUUUUUUUUUUUUUUUUGAAUACAAUUUUAAAUGUAAUUUAUUCCUGUGAUGCAGGAAUACUCCAGUCUUCACGAUCAUGCUAAUAUCGUAAUUUGGGGUCAAAAAACAUUCCUAUCAAACACUAUUAUCAAGGCUGAAAAAACUUGUGCGGCUUAAUUUUUUAUGGAAAUCAGAACCAGAAACCAUUUUGUAAACCGAGAUUCUUUCAUCAAGUUCAGAAGAGUAAAAACAAAAACUUUUUGCAGCUAUGUAAAAGUCUUAAGAUCCUUGCACGCUUAGUUAAUAAUUUUCGUACUGCGUUUUUUACUAGUUUUACCUUGAAUUUGUCAUACUUUCCUAUAAUAACUCUUCCUAUAGAUCAGAAAACAAAAAAGUGAGCUGGCACUUUAUCAACAAAAUAAUUAUCAAAUAAAAGAAUAAAACGAUUAUUUUGUAAAAAAAAAAAAAAAAAAAAAAAAAA